UGCUCUCUCUCGCAGGAGAGACACAAAGGCCCUGGUACCAGCAGAGGUGACGUGAGGCUCCCAGAUCACACAGGGACGGGGUGGCGGGGGGACUGUGCUCCUUUGAAUGGAGAGGCUGGCAGAAGGCUCAGCACAAAUAAGGGACAGGGUCUUGUUAUGCCGCCAGGGCUGGUCUUGAACUCCUGGGCUCAAGCAAUCCUCCCACCUCAGCCUCCCACAGUGCUGGAAUUAUAGAAGUGAGCCACCCCGCCUGGCCUUCUAGCUUAAUCUUCACAAUUCUGAGCAAUGGUGUCUUCCCCAUUUUAAAGAUGAGAAAAAAAAAAAAAAAA